rnacentral:rRNA from 1 species
GAUGAUCGCUGGCGGCGUGCCUAAUACAUGCCAGUCGAGCGAACAGACGAGGAGCUUGCUCCUCUGACGUUAGCGGCGGACGGGUGAGUAACACGUGGAUAACCUACCUAUAAGACUGGGAUAACUUCGGGAAACCGGAGCUAAUACCGGAUAAUAUAUUGAACCGCAUGGUUCAAUAGUGAAAGACGGUUUUGCUGUCACUUAUAGAUGGAUCCGCGCCGCAUUAGCUAGUUGGUAAGGUAACGGCUUACCAAGGCAACGAUGCGUAGCCGACCUGAGAGGGUGAUCGGCCACACUGGAACUGAGACACGGUCCAGACUCCUACGGGAGGCAGCAGUAGGGAAUCUUCCGCAAUGGGCGAAAGCCUGACGGAGCAACGCCGCGUGAGUGAUGAAGGUCUUCGGAUCGUAAAACUCUGUUAUUAGGGAAGAACAAAUGUGUAAGUAACUAUGCACGUCUUGACGGUACCUAAUCAGAAAGCCACGGCUAACUACGUG